CAGAAGAUAUGAGUUCUAGAACUUUUCCUCUGCAUUCCCUUUUCAGCUCCCUGUUUUCUUAUCUGCAAAAUGAGAUCUUUAACUACCAGCAGAGUGUGGAGCCUGCUUAAGAUUCUCUCUCUCCCCUCCUCCCUUAGCCUACUCUUCCACUCACAUGCUGUCUCUCUCUCCCACAAAAAAAUAAAUAAAAUAAUAAAAUAAAAUAAAAUAAAAUAAAAUAAAAUAAAAUAACAUCUUCAAACCUAAGUAUAAAUUUCAAGGAGAAUCCUGGAGAAGAAUUGUGUUGUUGACAAUGGCAUCUUAAAAAAAGAAGAAGAAGAAGAAGAAGAAGAAGAAGAAGAAGAAGAAGAAGAAGAAGAAGAAGAAGAAGACAGGAGAGCUGCUGCAUCUCAAAAUGGAGAAAUGAGGGGAGGAAUGAGUUGGCUGAGGUGGCCAAAGACUCUCCUAGGGACAACAAACUCCACAAGAUUUUCGAGUACCUUCAGAAUAAAUCAGCCAUGGAGCUCUAGAGAAAAAGCCCAGUGUAACGCUCAAACGUGUGGAGGGGAGCGGAUCAUUUUCUACAGAACUGUGUGCAAUUCUUAUCAGGCCAAGUCCAGCUGCUCCUGGCUAACUAGCUUGCCCAAGUGACUCCCCCGGGCCCCAGCUAGGAGCAACUAAAAUAAAAUGCAAAAGGCACCACCCCUUCCCCCUCA
rnacentral:lncRNA from 1 species